UGAAUAGAUCACCUCUUUAAAAUAAACGGAUUUAAAGGUUUUAUCAGAGUUAUUGAAACUUAGCGGAAAAUUACAGUCCCGAAUCGACUUCCGUCUAUUCUGAACCGCUACUGGAAAACCGGACACGCGAAUUUAUUGCUGGAUUUGAAUUAGAACGAUAAAGAAUAUUAACACCGGAAUCUAACUAAAUCAAAUGCACUUAUCACUAAAU
rnacentral:lncRNA from 1 species